GAAUAUUGAAUAAUAUGGGUGGUUUAUUGUAGAGUUUUUUCCAAUAGGGGGCACACAAAGCACAAGAACAGCUAAAACCUCGACAAAAUCCUUCACUACUUGAACCAGAGCCCAGAAAAACACAUCUGAGGAACCUUCUGUGUUUAGCAGGGACUAUUAUAACGUUCACAGAGAUUUCUCUGGGUGUCUGCAGGUGUCUUUACUUUGGUGGAUUUAAUGAUUGCUUUCUCUACUUAAGUCCUCUGAAGAGAAAAUGCUAAUUAGUGGGACGCUGGUGGAAGCAAGACAUAUGCCCAGAACCAGGUGGAAGGUAUGUGAAAAGUAUGGCUCAUGGAGUGCUCAUUUUCUUAUGGUAUUCUUCAGAGAUGUCUUAGUUUAGGGUAAAUUUGGGAGAAAAACUCCAAAUGGGGGUUUCUCCAGGGAGGGAAAAAAAAUUUAAAUUACCCCUCUCCCCCCCCAACUGGUCUGGGGAAAAAAAAUUCCUUGGAGAGAAGUGGAAAAAGCUGUUUAUUUAACAGAAAUUGAAUAAUAUUAAAUAAUAAAACCUCUCACUGUUCGAUGGGAUGGAAAAUC
rnacentral:lncRNA from 1 species